GGUAUCCCAUUGCUAACAUAGACUGUGUUUCUACACCAACUGUUAUAGAAAGAGGAGGAACAGUAAAUGUAACUCCAUACACACCUCAGCCCAGACCCUUUGCUUGGUCUAUAUUGUGAAUGGAGGGACAUGA